rnacentral:tRNA from 1 species
UCUAUUUUGACAGAUUUAAUGUGUUAAAUUUAGGAUUUAUUUAUGUAAAAAAUUACAGGUAGAA